GUCGGGCCUGGUGGUGCCCUCCUGUAAUCCCAGCAGCUCAGGAGGCUGAGACAGGAGGAUUGUGGGUUCAAACCAGCCUUAGCAACAGUGAGGUGCUAAGCAACUCAGUGAGACCCUGUCUCAU
rnacentral:sRNA from 1 species